CCGGAUCCUUUUUACACGGGUAAUCGGGUGCCCUGAUGUUUGGGUAAUUUACAUCCUCUCUCAAAUUCGACGGUGAUUCAGUCGGCCAAUUUGUACACACUCCUACCAUAGAUUGUGCUUCCUUUGAGAUUGGAACCAUCUUAUGCCUCUCCCGGUGUCGAUAGAAUCUGUUAGUAUCAAGAACUUUCGUGAAUCCAUCAACAAAUUGGAGCUCUGUAGGUACAUGUUCUAUUAUUCUUAAUACUCCUCUAUUUAUUAAUUUACAGACAAAAUAGUAGCUUAUCUCAAUAUAUCUUGAACGCACUGUGAUUGUCACAUAAUAGAAUAGGAAGAUUAUUCAAUUUAAUCCCUAAUUCUCGAAAUUAGCAUGCGCCAUUGCUUUAAAUUCAACCUCAGUGCUUGAAUUUGACACUGAUGGUUGUUUCUUGGCUGACCAAGAUAACAAAUUCCCUUUAUACUAGAUGCUUGAACCAGUGAUUGAUCUUCUUUCAGUGGUUCCUCCCCAAUCAGCAUAUGUAUAUGCUAUUAGUUCAUUCAUACUAUCUGUGCCUCUGGUCAUGCUUAAUCCCAUUGUAUAUGUCCCCUUUAAGUACCUGAAAAUUCUCCUUACUACAUUCAUAUGACCCUCCUUGGGUUUUUGCAAGAACUGACAUACCUGAUUAAUUGGGAAUGAGAGAUCAGGCCUGGUCAAUGCUAGGUAGUAUAAGCUCCCGACUAUGCUUCUAUAAAGUGUGAUAUCUUCAACAUAUCUUCACCCAUCUCAUGUUGUGCUUUGGGAAAUUGAAAAUGGUUCUCACUGGGUUUGACUGAUCAUAACCAUAUUUUUUUUAAUAUAUCUUUUGUGUAACCUUCCUGAGAUAUAACCAUCUCGAUCUUCCCCUUGAUAGACACAUUGGAUUCCUAAAAAGUAGCUUAGUAUCCACAUGUCUCUGCCAUGAAAUGUUUUACAAGUCAUUUUAAUGAAUUAUGAAAUUUCAUUCUCAGACUAAUACCAAGAUUUUAGUUUUUUAAAAUGUUCUAAAAAAUAGUGAAGCAUCUGCACUUGAAUUCUGAAAUUUGUUGUUUAUUAAAUGCUAUUGCAGUUUUAAGUACCAAGCCCUAGGAGCUUGCUUCAGGCCAUAUAGUGCCUUCUGAAGUAAACAUACAUGAUCUGGUCUGGAUUUAUAUUGAUAUCCCUUGGGUUGUCUCAUAGAGAACACCUCCUGUAAAUUUUCAUUCAGGAAUGCAUUCCUAACAUCCAAUUGUCUUAAUCUCCACCCAUUACUAACUGCCAAAGAUAACACAGUUCUUACUGCUGAGAUUUUCACCACAGGAUUGUAAGUAUACUGAAAAUCUACUCCUUCCUCCUGACUAUACCCUUGUGCCACCAGCCUUGCUUUGCACCUCUCUAUACUCCCAUCUGAUUUUCUUUUCAACUUAUACACCCACUUGCAUCCCACUAUGUUCAUAUGAUCUCCUUUUUCCACUAACUCCAAGUCUGAUUUUCUUUAAUUGUCUGCAUCUCCUCAUCCAUUGCCCUUCUCCAACAUUCAUUCUUAUUUGCCUGUGAAAGCUAUGUAGGCUCAAAAAUUUCAUUAGUCAUAUAUAUAUAUAGUAGCAUUACACUCAUACUUUUUAUAUUUAGUAUAUAUCAACACAUUUAAUUUUGAUUCUUUUUUAUUUCCUUGCUCUGAGAAGAGUCCUGUCCUGAUUUUGAGAAUCACCUGCAGUAGAAUGGUUUAUAUCUAGAUUCAAUUCCAGAUUAACCUUGUUCUCAGUGUUUUCAAUUGGAUUUGUUUUUGAAGAGUUGGUAUCUAUUGGUCCAGACUUACUAUUAGAGUAGCAUGUUGAUGUAAUAGACUGACCUUUGAGUGUAUUAGAGUUGAUUUGAGACAUAUUAGAAUUGUUUGGACAAACAUUGGGAGUUAUAUGAAUUGGAAUUGAAUUAUUAAAAAACAUUGUUGGAUUUACUUGACUCUCUUGGCCUAACCUAUAUCUAUAGACCUUGAGCUAGAAGAAUGAUGAAUCCCAUUACAUGCUUUCUAACCUAGGUAAAGACUAUAUGAUUCACACCAUCUUGUUGUAUAGGUGGAUAGGAUGGAUAGAUGCAUUACCAAAACACGAGGUCAACUAAAUUUUUUUUUCUUUUCUAAUUCAAUAUCAUUCCUUAAUUUUUCCUGAAUGAGUAGAAACUCAUCUUCAUUGAACAAUACAAUCCUAUACACCUUGAUUUCUUUAUUCUCUAAGUCUAUACAUUUAUAACCCUUUUGUUGAGCUGGAUACCCCAUAAAAACGCACUUUUUGGCCUUUGGCAUCAGGUUGUCUCUAUUUUCUUUGGGUAAUAAAGGAUAACAACUACAUCCUAGAGUUUUCAUCAUCUUGUAGUUUGGUUGCCUUUUCAUCAAUAGUUCAAAUGGACUUUUGUUAUCUAAAUUUGGUGUUUCCAGUCUAUUUAUCAAAUAAACAGCAGUGGAAAAAAAAUUUCGUCUAGUAUUCAUGUGAAAUUUCAGAUUUUCCUACUUCCAAAAUUUGUUUGUGCCUUCUUUUAACUAACCCAUGUUGUUUAGGGUGUGUGUGAGCAAGUCAUCCUCUGUUUAAUCCCUGAAUAGUAGGGGAGAUGCCGGUGAGAAGUCAACUCAGAAUCAACUGAUCCUGUUGACGCGCGACCGGAGUGGAUAGCUCUACCGAACCUUCGACAUAAAGCAUUAGUUCGUAGCCGCACAACAUAGCGGAGAACUGAGCUUCCCAAGAAUAGUAGUUCUCCUUCUCGAGAAGAACACAUCGGGAGUGCUUCAUGACGAUCUUAGACGGUAGAGACAUUGGAGAGUCGUCAGCCAUGGAAGAGACGACAGCAGCAGCGGAAAACGUAGAUGUCAUCGGAAAAAUAACGAUGAUCAAUUAAAAAUUGAAUGAUACCAUAUAACAAAGUGGAAGAAGAAUGACUUCGCCGGAGAGUAAUUCCGAUGAGUUUGUAUUGAAUCAGAUAAAUCUUGAUUGUAUUAUUACAGGUGGUUUUAUAACCACUAAGAUAACUACUAUUGCAACAUACUAAGAUAACUACUAAGAACUAUAACUAAUUUAUACGUUGGUUAUUAGUUGAUGCACCAACUCAACUUUAACUAACUGGUCCAACAAGUCG
rnacentral:lncRNA from 1 species